UACGGAGGGUGCAAGCGUUGUUCGGAUUUACUGGGCGUAAAGGGCGUGUAGGCGGAGCAGUCAGCCGAUGGUGAAAGCCCCGGGCUCAACCCGGGAUGUGCUGUCGGAACUGCUGUUCUAGAGAGAGUCAGAGGCAGGUGGAAUUCCAGGUGUAGAGGUGAAAUUCGUAGAUAUCUGGAGGAACACCGGCGGCGAAGGCGGCCUGCUGGGACUACUCUGACGCUGAGGCGCGAAAGCGUGGGGAGCAAACAGG
rnacentral:misc_RNA from 1 species